rnacentral:rRNA from 1 species
UACGUAGGGGUCAAGCGUUGUCCGGAAUCAUUGGGCGUAAAGAGCGCGUAGGCGGUCCGGUAAGUCCGCUCUGAAAGUCCGGGGCUCAACCCCGGGAGGCGGGCGGAUACUGUCGGGCUAGAGUCCGGAAGAGGCGAGUGGAAUUCCUGGUGUAGCGGUGAAAUGCGCAGAUAUCAGGGGGAACACCAAUGGCGAAGGCAGCUCGCUGGGACGGUACUGACGCUGAGGCGCGAAAGCGUGGGGAGCAAACAGG